GAAAGAAAGAAAGAAAGAAAGAAAGAAAGAAAGAAAGAAAGAAAGAAAGAAAGAAAGAAAGAAAGAAAGAAAGAGUUGUUUUGCAUUUGAUUCCCCUAGAACAUUAGGAUCUUUAUCUAUGGAACUCUGGGAUAUGUGAAUUUUAUUUUAUCCUCCCUCCAAAGCAUUCUUCUUUUAAAACUUUGCUGUUUUGAAACUUUUGCAUCCAGGAGAACCAACAGCAGCGCCAAACGUCUCUCAUCGCAUGAGCCCACCCAAUAAGUUAUCUUGAUGCUGCACAAAAUGCCUCACAAGAAUAUAUUACUGAGAGCUAGCGUCAUUUGAGAACCACAGCAAAAUCUUGUCAACAAACCACCCCUCCCUUUGCACCUGAAAUAACUGAGCUCCUGGAUAGAAUUCCACGUGGGUUCUUCCUUCAUUAGUCUACACUCAAACACCCGUUUGCCUGAAGCCAUGUUUAAGAAGAUAUUUAUGAAAUCGCAUUGACAGGCAUGCACGAAACAAUUGGUACAUCCAGAACUGCAACAUUCCCAAGCUAAGAGUAGAGAUUUUUCAAAUGGCAAUCCUGUCUGUCUGGGAGAGUCUUGGUUUUUGCUUGCUUUUCUUAGUUGACUGAAAUAAACUGCUGAGGUGGGAGAGCUUGAGCAUUCAAGACCAAGAUGACAAGUGGCGACUGGUGGUACUCGGAUAUUGCCAUAUCCUAAAAGUGGUACAAUGGGUGAAAAGGUUGAAAAGCCCUGAGUUAGGGUAACGAAAUGUCUGCAAGAAAACAAGCAAGCUCAGAGAGCACCAAGGACCCCUGAUAUAAUCAUCGGCUGGACCAUAAAGUAGUUUAGCUGACUAAAUAAAAUUGGACUUCCAUCUCUAUAUGUCCCUCUUUUCAGUGAUCAAAAGAAGUGUCAAUCUCAUCCAAAGGAUCUGCAUUUCCAAUGUGAACCCCACCGCCAUGCUUUCGGCUGAGUUGCCUUAUCGGGAUGAAAUUAAUGCAUGUCUCACUUUUUCCAGCACAGCUAAUAAAAGAUGUGGUGAAACAGAAACAGUUGCUGCAGGGGAUGACUUAA